GCUAAAUACCGCAUAGGUUCUUUGACCGCAUGGUCGAAGAAGGAAAAGAGGCCUUAGUGCUUCUGGUGAUGGAUGGACCCGCGGCGUAUUAGCUAGUUGGUGAGGUAAAGGCUCACCAAGGCAUUGAUACGUAGCCGACCUGAGAGGGUAAUCGGCCACAUUGGGACUGAGACACGGCCCAAACUCCUACGGGAGGCAGCAGUAGGGAAUCUUCCGCAAUGGACGAAAGUCUGACGGAGCAACGCCGCGUGAGUGAAGAAGGUUUUCGGAUCGUAAAACUCUGUUGUUAGAGAAGAACAAGUGCUAGAGUAACUGCUAGCAUCGUGACGGUAUCUAACCAGAAAGCCACGGCUAACUACGUGCCAG
rnacentral:rRNA from 1 species